rnacentral:rRNA from 1 species
UACAGAGGUCCCAAGCGUUGUUCGGAUUCACUGGGCGUAAAGGGUGCGUAGGCGGUCGGGUAAGUCUGAUGUGAAAUCUCACAGCUUAACUGUGAAACUGCAUUGGAUACUAUCCGGCUAGAGGAAUGGAGGGGAGACUGGAAUACUUGGUGUAGCAGUGAAAUGCGUAGAUAUCAGGAGGAACACCGGUGGCGAAGGCGGGUCUCUGGGCCGAUACUGACACUGAGGAGCGAAAGCGUGGGGAGCGAACAGG